UAUCCAUAAUUACGCUCUCAACAUAGUAACUGCAUCUCCAGUGCUCGAGAUCGUCGCGUCUAUUGUGAAUGCACCGGUGCUGCGAAAGUGACGACUGAAAAGCAAACCACACACCGCGCAAUCUUGCCAAGAUGACAAGUAUGACUUAGUAUCACCAUCAUCGUCCUUUCGAAAGUACGCUUGCAAGCUGAACUUGUUACACGAUAAACGUAAUAUGAUUAUAUCUUUUUAAUCGUCAGCUAUCUUACGCAACAUUACGCUGUUACGCCGAGUAAUUAAAUGUGUAACACGUUCCGGAUUUCCCUCUUGGACAAUUGCGCGAUUGGCCUCUGUGAGAAAAGUGAAAGGAAUCUUAAAUUAGGUACACCUCUGCUGCAAGCACUUUUCCAACAACCCUACGGAUGGAUAUUCUAUCUUUGUUGUGCUGUGCAAGUGUACCAUCGUCUCUCGAAGUGGAUCUCACGCGUGUCUCGCGCGUUUCACAUAUAUCUGACAACGCACUUAUGUAUACACCUUUCUUCGCUAUUCGUUUUAUACGUUUUAUACGAUAUUCAAGUGAACUCAACAGUAGAAACAGAAAGUCAUUGUAAAUUUUGUAAAUAUUUGCAAAGCAUCACGCUUUUAGUAAUUGUUUGAGAGAAAUAAAAGCUAUAGAAAUAUUUUAACAGAUAAACAUCAAGUCUGCGGUCUUAAAUCACAUGUAUGUAUUACAUGUACAGGGUGUGAAGGAAGUAAGUGUAAAUAAGAUCGUAGUAUGAUUCAACACUUCCGGAUGGGUGAAGAAGAAAGCUUUUAAAAAAACCAUAGGCUACAAAUGAUUCCUUCUGCCGGUCAACAAUGUUAAAGUUUUAAUAAUUCGUUAAUUGGCUUUAUUGGCAUAAAAAUAUUUAGUUGCAUUUACUUUUCACGGGGAGAUAACGCGCUAUCAACGAAGCAGUAGGGAAUUACAGAUAUAUCAGAAUACUGAAAUAAUGGAAGACCUUUACGUGCAGAAAAAGUUGCGUGAUGAUAUGAUUUUCAGCGACUAAAUUAGUAAUUUCGUGAUCAAGAAUUAAUAUUGCGACAUUUAAAUCCAUAUCAAAGAUUAAAUCGGCCCCGCAUUCCUAAAGAAGAUUAAUUAUUGCCAUUCCUCGUGCGCAUUUACUAAUGAAUUUACAUAGAAUAGGUGACAUCGAAUCAAUCAUACGACAAUGCGGCGAAUACGAGAGCGAACUUACAUUUUUAUAACAUUCGCCGCGUUUAAGCACUCCAAAUAGAUAUGUCACUCGGCGGAAUUUUUCCCGUUGAAUGAUACUUACGCUGCAACUAUGCUUUUUCGACCGUGUUACGAAUGCAGUAGCAUCCUCGAUCAACAAACGCCAGGAUUUCAUUUCGUGCUCGCGGAAAAGCGCACGCAAUAAUUCGAGGCAUUUAAUCAAGAAUGGGCAGCAAUUAUGUGCCUACAUCGAUAACAAGUGCGUAUAUUUGCGACUUUUACGUUCGUGACUCUAUAGCAAAUUACACCAAGUUAAAGCACACGUGCCUACUCUAUCUAUUCCACGCAUGAUUGCUCACACUCCGCCUCAUAGUCGAUCGGUUCGCCAAUUUUUCAAUGAAACGUUUAUAUUAUCGUGAACAGGAUGAAUCGUUUCCCAUGGACCACCUCGCUUUGUAGAUCCGGCACCGCUCCACUUUUUUCUUCGCGGAGUGAAAGAUAUCGUUCAGUAGUUUAAAAUUUAGUUAAAAUAGUAGUGUCAAAUUUAGUAUACUUUUUGUUGCCUAUGAACAAAAGUAAAUAUGCGUUUCUUUUACAAUUACGGAUAUCUAUGAGAAUAAUCAUUGUUGGAAAAGAAGCCUGAGCGAAGAAUUACAUAUAAAUUUGCAAAAAAAAUUUAAUUCAUUGUAAAUUAAAAAUCAGUUUGAAAAUUACUAAAAGUUUAACAUUGUUGAACGGCAGGAGGGAUAAUUUGCGACCCACGAUGCCUUUCAGACUGUUGUUUCUCGUGAUAAGCACAGUAUGCUAUAAUAAAGGAGAUUAAACUUUAAUUUUGAAAUGAAUUGAAUUUAAUGUAGGAUCCUCUUUAAACUUACUUUCUUCGCACCCUGUGCAUGACACGUCGCAACGGCAGAUAAUGACCGGUAGAGUGAAGUUACGUCCACGCAACAGCAAUCACCAAAGUGUAACUUAUAUAUUAGAUUUAUAGGGAGUAGCGUGAUGUGAGAAAUGAGAACAGCGCGUAAUUGCAAGAGUGUGAAUAUGAAAAGAUUAUUAAGUGUUAGAAAUAGACAAGAGAAGACGGGAGAAAUUCUAGACAGGGGAAGACAAAGACACGGAGUAGCGAAAUGAGAGAGGACAGGUGGAAGGUAGAAAGACACCUAGUAGGAGGUAAAAGACAAAGGGAUUUGAGGUUAAAGCGAGAACUCGGAUCUACUGGAUGCCGAUCGUGUGGGUCACAGGAAGCAGCGACACCUAUCGAAGGAAAACAGGGCUGCUGGAUCGCGGUCCAUCAGAACCAGUAUCCUUCGACACCUGAUGGACACGCAAGAAAUCAAAGAACCAAAAGCAACAGAAAGCGCUAGGUGAGAGCAGAAGGACUAAUGAGCAAAAUAAAAGAUUGAAAAAGGAGAGAAUGAUCGACUUCGACGGUACAGUGUCAAAGGCGAAUGCUCAUUAAUUGAAGCCUUUAAGGGAAAAGGGGAAGAGGGCGAAGACCGGGAAAGAGACAAAACAGGAAAAGAGAACUUGAAAAAACCGCAAAUGACAAGAAAGAAAGGUAGAUCACCACCGAUGAACAGGAAAAGGCAGGGGGGAGAAAAACGGCGAAAAACAAAUGCUGGGACCAGGGAAAUUUGGAAAUGGAGAAACUGGAUAAAUUAAGGGGAAUCAUUUUAACGAUAGAAACGGAUGUAGAAGAAUAGACAUUUACACAAUCGACCAACCACAUCGAUGUUUUAAAUUCAAUGACACUCUGAAGUAGAAGCUGAAGUAAUACCUCUGUACUAGCACGAGAGUCAAACAAGGAAUCUGUUUCACUUUUGCAAAGCACACACUAGAGACUUGGUAGUUGUCCGGUUUCGAACCAAAUUUCCUCUUUCGGAUAAUCGCACGCGUCGUUUAAAGAACGCAGCGAUUCGAAUUGCAGGUUAAGAUUAAGUUUCAUUCAGAUUAUUUACGGGCCUCGUCAUUUUUCCACUGCUAAAUCAAACAAUUUUUUCAACGUAAUAAUAGAGUUGCACCUUUUUUGUGUUUCGAACUAUCGAAGUUCUUUUCCGAAUGCCACGAUUGCUUCGCCGUAAAAAGCCACCUCUCUAUUACCACCUUUGUUUGCUGUUUUCAUUUGCAUAAUAUCGUCAUUGUUAUGGUCUUUGUCGCAAUGAAACCAUUUCAUUACAUUAGCAUAUUGAAGGUUUUUCUAGUGUUGCCAGCAUCUGCGGAAUCUACGUGCUUUGGAUAAUUUUUAAUAUCUUGUUUUUGUUUCUUAAUAUCUAUAAAAAUGUGUGUUUUUGUUAAUUCUAUUGCACUUACAACAUUUUAGAACUUUCUAAUUGUGUCAUGUUUGGUUUCGAUGGUUAGAACGCUGUUAGUUUCAUACUAAAUUCUUACAAUCAGAAUUCACUCAAUCGAAUGAAGGGGACAAUCUAUCGAUUCAUUAUUAAUGAUUAACUCAUGACUUACUGUUGGGAUCUAAAUAUGUCACAAUUGGAACUUUGUCUAUUCGUUUGAAUAGCCUCAACGGUCACUGUCCACAUCCUAAUGUUCAAAUAAUUAAGAUUAAAACAAAUAUAUAAAUAAAUAAAUGUUGAAUACGAUUUUUGAAAAAAUGCAUUUUCAUCCAAAAUAUAUAAAAUACGUACAAACGUAUUGGAUAAGAGUCCAGAAUUUCUUUUUAGUAAGAAAGAGCAAGACCAGAUUUAGAAUUGGUCAUACUAACCUGACACGUUCUCAUCUUAUAACUGAAAAUGAACCACACAAGUGCAAACACUGUAUUUUGUCUGCAGAUCAUCUUCAUAAAUUGUAGUAACUUUCCCCAACACAAAACAAAGUUUGAUCUUCCAGAUGAUAUUCAAACAUGCCUAACUAAAUCUUCUUCACUUUCUCAAGGAUAUUAGUUUGUAUCAGCAAUUAUGAUACUGUAGGCUAUUAGCUUAGUUGUAACAUACAUUAUAUUCUAUUAAUUUAAGUUUAGGUUAAUUAUACUACAUCUUGCUGUCAUUGUAUAUCCUUGUACUGUAUGUGAUUUAUGUUCAAAAUGUAUUGAUAUAUACUAUUAAGUGAGUUUGUAACUUGUUUUAUUAUAUUUUAAAUUUUGUUUCUUUUUGUAUAUUCUUGUUGUGUAUUUUAUUAAUUAUGCGACCCUAAAUAAAAUAAAUAAUAAGACAUCCGUUACUGGGAAAUAUCAUGUUUGUUGUUAUUUCUAUAUUCAGAGGUAGGAUCACAAUAGUUAUUACUAUA